CAGUCGUGACCUCAAGCGAUGCCUAAGAAUCCCCAGAUGAAUUCCAAAAACAUCUUGCUGCCUCGGGGGCCUGAAAAAGCUUUUACUUAGUGUGGAAUGUUACGUGUUCCCAUCAGGCGCCUCACGUCCGUGGGUUUCGUUCAUCGCAGUUCAGUGCAGAUGUCUUUGUAAUACCAUGAUUCUGAGCCAGUCUUCACUUACUCUUGGUCCAAAGAGCACUUUUGUUUCCAUGUGGGUGGGGUGUGGCUUCGUUUGGUUUUCGUUUUUGUUCCGUUUGUGACCUCCACAGAGACAGGGUAAGAGAAACUAUUUUGUGAUAUUAUUAUAGUCCCUGUUCUCAACAUCUGGGCUAUUUAUGUUGUGUCUGUGGAAAUAGCAACCUGGUGAGCACAUGUUGGGUAGUAUGGAUUUAUACCUCGAACAGAGGGAUUUCAGGGAGGGAGAAAGUGAAUGAGAAAAGACUAGGAACAAGAAACUUCUGCCAGAGAGGUUGUGCAGUCUGGGAUCUCUGUGCUGAGUUUUCUGCUUAGGCAGGAAAGCCAGGUGCUUCAGUGGUGUUAGUGGCUGGACUCCCAGUGUGACCAUGGGUCAGACCCUGCCAAAGAGGGGCUAUGCUGCCCACACAUUACCCCUGGGAAGGGGCUGCCCCUUCUCCAGGGGUCCAAGGUGGGCAGUAUGGGACCCCUGGAAAACUUUGGAGGACAAUUAGCUCAAUGUUGCUAAGCAGGAGACCAGCCCCAACAUGAGGAGCCACCAACCUCAGUACCAUUUACCAAACUGUAGUGUCUGAUGACAUACAAUGAAAUACUAAAGAGUCCUGAGUUCACCUUACCUUUGCCAGAGAGAGUGGGUAAAACAGGAAUGCAGCAUUCUGGGUGGUACUGGGAUACAACCGCGAGAGGCUCGUGCCGUUUUCUCCCAAGUGAACUCUCGAGCCGCCUGCCCCCAUACCCAUUCAGAGGUGUUGGUGAUCGGCCACUGGACAGGAACCCCGCCAGCACAUCCCUGUGCAGCCCCCCAAGUCAUUACAAUGCAGUGUCUUCACCCAAAGGAGAGGAGGAGGCAGGCUACACUUCUAUUGCUACUGCACAAAAAUCUAGAAAGUCUGAUGGGUGUUUUUGCCAGUUAGGAGACAACGUUUUAGUAUAAGAUUAUCUCACCACAUACCUUUGUGUCAGUAAGAGUGGCUCCUCAUGCCCGGAGAGCCAGAUCUCUAACUUGGUGGAGGUUCAGUCAGCUGUAGUGUAUUCUUCCCUGCCUGGCUGCCUGAGGGGAGUCAGCCCAUCUUCAGAAGUUAACCAAGAGGCAGGAUCUUAACAGUAACUGUUUGGGAAGUCUCACGGGAAGUGAUGGCCUGUUUCCCUCUGACAUCCCAGUAUAUAUAGUUACAUAUGUAAAUAUCUGAAAACCCUGUGUAAUGGUGAAGACUAUGUACAGAGCAGCCUUCCCAAACGUGGCCCUAGGCAAAAAGCCACUCUUGCCACUUGGCUUGGAUGUGCUGGUGACUCAGCUUUGGGGAUAGAUCCCCAGAUCCAUCUGCUCUUCCUGGUCCAGCCAGGAUGCGCCAGAACCUGCCCUGCCUCUGCCUUCUCAAAUGUGACCAUUUCAGGGAGCCACCCUCAGCCUUGGGUUCACGAGAGGAUGAAGCCCCCAGAGACCAGUGCCUAGAGCCUGCUCCCCUAGGCCUGGAGCCCAUCACGGGGCGCUGGACUCUGAGUCCCCGCAUCCGGGUCUGCAUUCCCAACAUUGCCCAUCAGCCCCGGCCUCAGAGAGUCCCAGAGUAACCUACUACCUCCCCAUCGCUCCCGCUAUCCCGGUCACACCAGCCACCCCAUCUGCACACAGAUAAGACCCGCCCCCGAGCCCAGCAGUGAGGCUGUUACCAAUGUUUACAAUUAGGGGCACCUCCUCUGAGGCGUGUUUACUCUCCCACUCCCAAGGCCACUUGCUGGUUUGAGUUUCAUGUCCUUCUGCCCCUUACCUGAUUGAGGCCAACUUGAACACACAACCCUGAUCUUACAUCCCGACCCUCCAUCAAGGCCAUGGUGAGGACUGUGUGGGAAGAAUAUUCCUUGUACAUACUCAGCACAGCCCCUAGAGUUUGGACUUGUACUAUUGUUCUGUAAAGAGGGUGAAAUAGAGCUUAUUGUAAAGCGUUGGGNNNNNNNNNNNNNNNNNUUUGUAACAAUAUGGUUCUUUGUAUACACAAAACUCAAUGAUCUCUAUAUAUAAUUAUAAAUAUAUAUAAAUAAGAUAUAUAUACACGUGAGCCUGGAAUGUUGAUGCCGCACACCCACUGAAUGUAUUUCCCCUGACAGUCUGGUCACUGGGCUGGCCCGCCCUCCCCUCCUCCGUACUGUUUUGGGGGUUGUGAUGUAUUUAAUGUGUUCUCUUCCUUUAUUUAACUGAACGCUAAUGUCUGUAAGAGUUGCCGCAACAAUAAACAAGAACGUCACCUCUUGGCCCUGGCUGAGCGUCUUCAUGUUUCAGGUGAGGGACAAGACUGAAGGUGGGGGAAAAAUGUCAUCAUCCCAAAGGACACCUCCUACUCAUCCCAUGGGGCCUGCUCAGUGCUCAGAGCCCGUUGCCUAAACGGGCAGGUUCUGUGAAUCUACUCGGCUAGAAACCAGAAGCGGCUGCGUCAGCUGUCAGAACGUCCACUGUCUCGUCAGCCUCCUGGGAGCACACUGAAUGGGACACAGGAACCCUCAGGGCUUCUCAGUGAGGGAAGGGAAGUAGAAGUGAAUUACCUCCCCCAAGAAAUCUCCAGGGAGGGGAGGUAGCACUGCUGAAGUGGACUGCAGAAGGAAAAGUUCCCUGUCCCAUCCCCUGCGCCAUCACAGAGGACAGAGGAGCCUGGCAGGCUGCAGUCCACGGAGUGGCAAGAGUCGGACACGCCUUGGCGACGGAACAAUAACUGAACCAUGCUGCACAGCAAAGAUCAACAUUGUAAAUAAUAACAAAAAUCUGACUCAUACAAAUAUAGAAUGAACAUGUAGCAAAGAUUUAUUAACUCACUAAUUGAUAACAUCC
ensembl:lncRNA